CCUACGGGAGGCAGCAGUGGGGGAUAUUGCACAAUGGGGGAAACCCUGAUGCAGCGACGCCGCGUGAGCGAAGAAGUAAUUCGUUAUGUAAAGCUCUAUCAGCAGGGAAGAAAAUGACGGUACCUGAGUAAGAAGCCCCGGCUAACUACGUGCCAGCAGCCGCGGUAAUACGUAGGGGGCAAGCGUUAUCCGGAUUUACUGGGUGUAAAGGGAGCGUAGACGGCAGUGCAAGUCUGGAGUGAAAGGCGGGGGCUCAACCCCCGGACUGCUUUGGAAACUGUACGGCUGGAGUGCCGGAGAGGUAAGUGGAAUUCCUAGUGUAGCGGUGAAAUGCGUAGAUAUUAGGAGGAACACCAGUGGCGAAGGCGGCUUGCUGGACUGUAACUGACGUUGAGGCUCGAAAGCGUGGGGAGCAAACAGGAUUAGAUACCCGUGUAGUC
rnacentral:rRNA from 1 species